AUCGGUUUGGCAUACAGACCUUAUGUAAAGCAUUUUAGUAAAGCAGUUCUCAGUUCAAGCGUUAUCCUACAUAGAUACCUCUUUUCCGUGAGUCUCCUCCUAAGCGCCUAUAAAUAAAUUCUGCUAACAGACCAUGUUUGUCGCUCUAACGCGACCUCGAAAAUAAAGGAAGUAUUUAUGUCUGAUAAAAUGACUGGUUUAGUAAAAUGGUUCAACGCUGAUAAAGGCUUUGGUUUCAUCACUCCGAGCAAUGGUAGCAAAGACGUGUUCGUUCACUUCUCUGCCAUCCAGGGUGAUAGCUUCAAGACUCUGAACGAAGGCCAGAAAGUUGAAUUCUCCGUUGAAAACGGUGCAAAAGGUCCUUCAGCUGUCAACGUUGUUGCUGAAUAAUCUUUUUAAUGUUGAUGUUGGUUA
rfam:Lonsdalea quercina strain ATCC 29281 genome assembly, contig: Ga0052894_scaffold00005.5